rnacentral:rRNA from 1 species
ACGUCUCGAGAGAGUUUCGUAGUCCUGGCUACAGGAUGAACGCUGCGGCGUGCCUAAUAACAUAGCAAGUCGAGGCGAACCGACUUCGGUGGGGAAGACGGGCGAACGGGUGAGUAACACGUAAGGUGAUCUGCCCAUCAGACGGGGAACAACGGAUUGGAAACGAUCGCUAAUACCGGAUAGGACGAAAGUUUAAAGAUGCUCCUGGCAUCACUGAUGGAUGAGCCUGCGGCGCAUUAGCUAGUUGGUGGGGUAAAGGCCUACCAAGGCGACGAUGCGUAGCCGACCUGAGAGGGUGAACGGCCACACUGGGACUGAGACACGGCCCAGACUCCUACGGGAGGCAGCAGUAGGGAAUCUUCGGCAAUGGGCGAAAGCCUGACCGAGCAACGCCGCGUGAAUGAAGAAGGCCUUCGGGUUGUAAAAUUCUGUUAUGAGGGAAGAAAGGUGAUAGGAGGAAAUGACUAUCAAUUGACGGUACCUUAUGAGAAAGUCACGGCUAACUACGUG